AGCGAACGCUGGCGGCAGGCCUAACACAUGCAAGUCGAACGAACUCUUCGGAGUUAGUGGCGGACGGGUGAGUAACACGUGGGAACGUGCCUUUUGGUUCGGAAUAACUCAGGGAAACUUGUGCUAAUACCGAAUGUGCCCUUCGGGGGAAAGAUUUAUCGCCAUUAGAGCGGCCCGCGUCUGAUUAGCUAGUUGGUGAGGUAACGGCUCACCAAGGCGACGAUCAGUAGCUGGUCUGAGAGGAUGACCAGCCACACUGGGACUGAGACACGGCCCAGACUCCUACGGGAGGGAGGAGUGGGGAAUCUUGCGCAAUGGGCGAAAGCCUGACGCAGCCAUGCCGCGUGAAUGAUGAAGGUCUUAGGAUAGUAAAAUUCUUUCACCGGGGACGAUAAUGACGGUACCCGGAGAAGAAGCCCCGGCUAACUUCGUG
rnacentral:rRNA from 1 species